UACGUAGGGGGCAAGCGUUGUCCGGAUUUAUUGGGCGUAAAGAGCGUGUAGGCGGCCAGACAGGUCCGUUGUGAAAACUGGAGGCUUAACCUCCAGACGUCGAUGGAAACCGUCUGGCUAGAGUCCGGAAGAGGAGAGUGGAAUUCCUGGUGUAGCGGUGAAAUGCGCAGAUAUCAGGAAGAACACCCGUGGCUAAGGCGGCUACCUGGACCAGCACUGACACUCAGGCACGAAAGCGUGGGGAGCAAACAGG
rnacentral:rRNA from 1 species